rnacentral:rRNA from 1 species
GGAAUUUUGCACAAUGCCCGAAAGGGUGAUGCAGCAACGCCGCGUGAGGGAUGAAGGCCUUCGGGUCGUAAACCUCUUUCGACCGGGAAAAAUGGGCGGGUGAAGAGCCCGUUCUGCUGGUACCGGUGGAAGAAGCCCCGGCUAACUACGUGCCAGCAGCCGCGGUAAUACGUAGGGGGCGAGCGUUGUUCGGAAUUAUUGGGCGUAAAGGGCGUGUAGGCGGUGCGGUAAGUCGGGCGUGAAAUCUCCGGGCUUAACCCGGAGGGGUCGUUCGAAACUGCCGUGCUUGAGUGUGGGAGAGGGAAGUGGAAUUCCCGGUGUAGCGGUGGAAUGCGUAGAUAUCGGGAGGAACACCUGCGGCGAAGGCGGCUUCCUGGACCACAACUGACGCUGAGAGACGAAAGCUAGGGGAGCA